rnacentral:rRNA from 1 species
CCCCAGUAGCGGCGAGCGAACGGGGAGGAGCCCAGAGCCUGAAUCAGUGUGUGUGUUAGUGGAAGCGUCUGGAAAGGCGCGCGAUACAGGGUGACAGCCCCGUACACAAAAAUGCACAUACUGUGAGCUCGAUGAGUAGGGCGGGACACGUGGUAUCCUGUCUGAAUAUGGGGGGACCAUCCUCCAAGGCUAAAUACUCCUGACUGACCGAUAGUGAACCAGUACCGUGAGGGAAAGGCGAAAAGAACCCCGGCGAGGGGAGUGAAAAAGAACCUGAAACCGUGUACGUACAAGCAGUGGGAGCCUCUUAAUGGGGUGACUGCGUACCUUUUGUAUAAUGGGUCAGCGACUUAUAUUCUGUAGCAAGGUUAACCGAAUAGGGGAGCCGAAGGGAAACCGAGUCUUAACUGGGCGUUAAGUUGCAGGGUAUAGACCCGAAACCCGGUGAUCUAGCCAUGGGCAGGUUGAAGGUUGGGUAACACUAACUGGAGGACCGAACCGACUAAUGUUGAAAAAUUAGCGGAUGACUUGUGGCUGGGGGUGAAAGGCCAAUCAAACCGGGAGAUAGCUGGUUCUCCCCGAAAGCUAUUUAGGUAGCGCCUCGUGAAUUCAUCUCCGGGGGUAGAGCACUGUUUCGGCAAGGGGGUCAUCCCGACUUACCAACCCGAUGCAAACUGCGAAUACCGGAGAAUGUUAUCACGGGAGACACACGGCGGGUGCUAACGUCCGUCGUGAAGAGGGAAACAACCCAGACCGCCAGCUAAGGUCCCAAAGUCAUGGUUAAGUGGGAAACGAUGUGGGAAGGCCCAGACAGCCAGGAUGUUGGCUUAGAAGCAGCCAUCAUUUAAAGAAAGCGUAAUAGCUCACUGGUCGAGUCGGCCUGCGCGGAAGAUGUAACGGGGCUAAACCAUGCACCGAAGCUGCGGCAGCGACACUAUGUGUUGUUGGGUAGGGGAGCG